ACUGGUCGAGUCGGCCUGCGCGGAAGAUGUAACGGGGCUAAACCAUGCACCGAAGCUGCGGCAGCGACGCUUAUGCGUUGUUGGGUAGGGGAGCGUUCUGUAAGCCUGUGAAGGUGUGCUGUGAGGCAUGCUGGAGGUAUCAGAAGUGCGAAUGCUGACAUAAGUAACGAUAAAGCGGGUGAAAAGCCCGCUCGCCGGAAGACCAAGGGUUCCUGUCCAACGUUAAUCGGGGCAGGGUGAGUCGACCCCUAAGGCGAGGCCGAAAGGCGUAGUCGAUGGGAAACAGGUUAAUAUUCCUGUACUUGGUGUUACUGCGAAGGGGGGACGGAGAAGGCUAUGUUGGCCGGGCGACGGUUGUCCCGGUUUAAGUGUGUAGGCUGGUUUUCCAGGCAAAUCCGGAAAAUCAAGGCUGAGGCGUGAUGACGAGGCACUACGGUGCUGAAGCAACAAAUGCCCUGCUUCCAGGAAAAGCCUCUAAGCAUCAGGUAACAUCAAAUCGUACCCCAAACCGACACAGGUGGUCAGGUAGAGAAUACCAAGGCGCUUGAGAGAACUCGGGUGAAGGAACUAGGCAAAAUGGUGCCGUAACUUCGGGAGAAGGCACGCUGAUAUGUAGGUGAAGCGACUUGCUCGUGGAGCUGAAAUCAGUCGAAGAUACCAGCUGGCUGCAACUGUUUAUUAAAAACACAGCACUGUGCAAACACGAAAGUGGACGUAUACGGUGUGACGCCUGCCCGGUGCCGGAAGGUUAAUUGAUGGGGUCAGCGCAAGCGAAGCUCUUGAUCGAAGCCCCGGUAAACGGCGGCCGUAACUAUAACGGUCCUAAGGUAGCGAAAUUCCUUGUCGGGUAAGUUCCGACCUGCACGAAUGGCGUAAUGAUGGCCAGGCUGUCUCCACCCGAGACUCAGUGAAAUUGAACUCGCUGUGAAGAUGCAGUGUACCCGCGGCAAGACGGAAAGACCCCGUGAACCUUUACUAUAGCUUGACACUGAACAUUGAGCCUUGAUGUGUAGGAUAGGUGGGAGGCUUUGAAGUGUGGACGCCAGUCUGCAUGGAGCCGACCUUGAAAUACCACCCUUUAAUGUUUGAUGUUCUAACGUGGACCCGUGAUCCGGGUUGCGGACAGUGUCUGGUGGGUAGUUUGACUGGGGCGGUCUCCUCCUAAAGAGUAACGGAGGAGCACGAAGGUUGGCUAAUCCUGGUCGGACAUCAGGAGGUUAGUGCAAUGGCAUAAGCCAGCUUGACUGCGAGCGUGACGGCGCGAGCAGGUGCGAAAGCAGGUCAUAGUGAUCCGGUGGUUCUGAAUGGAAGGGCCAUCGCUCAACGGAUAAAAGGUACUCCGGGGAUAACAGGCUGAUACCGCCCAAGAGUUCAUAUCGACGGCGGUGUUUGGCACCUCGAUGUCGGCUCAUCACAUCCUGGGGCUGAAGUAGGUCCCAAGGGUAUGGCUGUUCGCCGAUUUAAAGUGGUAC
rnacentral:rRNA from 1 species